rnacentral:rRNA from 1 species
CAGCCGCCGCGGGAAUACGAAGGGGGCUAGCGUUGUUCGGAUUUACUGGGCGUAAAGCGCACGUAGGCGGACUUUUAAGUCAGGGGUGAAAUCCCGGGGCUCAACCCCGGAACUGCCUUUGAUACUGGAAGUCUUGAGUAUGGUAGAGGUGAGUGGAAUUCCGAGUGUAGAGGUGAAAUUCGUAGAUAUUCGGAGGAACACCAGUGGCGAAGGCGACAUACUGGCUCAUUACUGACGCUGAGGCUCGAAAGCGUGGGGAGCAAACAGGAUUAGAUACCCGUGUAGUCCCUGUCUCUUAUAC